CCUACGGGAGGCUGCAGUGAGGAAUAUUGGUCAAUGGACGAGAGUCUGAACCAGCCAAGUAGCGUGAGGGAUGACUGCCCUAUGGGUUGUAAACUUCUUUUAUAUGGGAAUAAAAUUUUGUACGUAUAGUGUUUUGUAUGUACCAUAUGAAUAAGGAUCGGCUAACUCCGUGCCAGCAGCAGCGGUAAUACGGAGGAUCCGAGCGUUAUCCGGAUUUAUUGGGUUUAAAGGGAGCGUAGGCGGAUUGUUAAGUCAGUUGUGAAAGUUUGCGGCUCAACCGUAAAAUUGCAGUUGAUACUGGCAGUCUUGAGUGCAGUAGAGGUGGGCGGAAUUCGUGGUGUAGCGGUGAAAUGCUUAGAUAUCACGAAGAACUCCGAUUGCGAAGGCAGUUCACUGGACUGUAACUGACGCUGAGGCUCGAAAGUGUGGGUAUCAAACAGGAUUAGAUACCCUUGUAGUC
rnacentral:rRNA from 1 species